rnacentral:lncRNA from 1 species
GUUUAGGGUAUAUUUGGAUUAGGGUUUAGUGAUUAGAAUGUAAGGUUUAGUAUUUAGAAGGUGAGGGGGUAUGGUUGGGGUGAGCAUUAACUUCUUUCAUGCAAUCAUAGAUAUUUUAUAGUUUCACCAAUAUGUACUAUGUUAUUUAUUUUGUUCCAUUCUAUUUGGGUUUUGUGUUUAUAUUUGGGUUUAGGGUUUAUAUUUGAGUUAGGGUUUAGUGAUUAGAGUUUAGGGUUUAGAUUUACUAAGUAAAUGUUUGAGUAUAGUAAACCAUAUUAUAUAUAUUCUAUUUGGGUUUAUAUUUUCUUGAUUAGGGUUUAGCUUAAUCUAUUUAUUUCAAGUAAAUGUGCUUUCAAGUGUUUAAUAUUAGAAAACAAUUUAUAGAUUGUAUUUGGGUUUAUAGGUUCCUGCCUAGGGUUUAGAUUUACUAAGUAAAGGUUUGGGUAUAAUAAACCAUAUUAUAUACAUUCUAUUUGGUUUUAUACUUCCUUGAUUAGGGUUUAGCUUAAUCUAUUUAUUUAGGUUUAGGGUUUAGGUUAUAUUUGGAUUAGGGUUUAGUGCCUAUAAUUUAGGGUUUAGUAUUUAGAAGGUGAGGAGGUAUGGUUGGGGUGAUCAUUAACUUCUUUCAUGCAAUCAUCGAUAUUUUAUAGUUUCACUUAUAUGUACCAUGUUAUUUAUUUUGUUCCAUUCUAUUUGGGUUUUGUGUUUAUAUUUGGGUUUAGGGUUUAUAUUUGAGUUAGGGUUUAGUAAUUAGAGUUUAGAUUUUAGUGAUAUGAACCCGUCAGUCUAUUCUAUUCAAUAAUUGAAUAAUAGAACAUUCAUAUAACCUUGCUACUAAAGUCCUCUGAAUUAUUGAACGAGAACUAAGUUUAGUUCCUCGUACACUCUAAAAGUACUAUACUAUAUCCACCGUGUAGUAUAGUAUUAUGAACCUGGUUAAUGUCAUUAUUUGAAAACGGGGAAAACUGUUUAUAUCUCGGAUGUGGGUUGACAUUUCCAGGUUAGAGUUUAGUGUUAUCAUCUGGGUGGGGGUUUCAAUAACUCACCCUCGUUGCUCCGUUACUUGUAUUAGUGAUAUGAACUCAUCCAUGUCGUAGUGUCAGUCUAUUCUAUCCAAUAAUAUAGUAAUUAAACAUCCAUAUAACCUUACUACUAAAGUUAUUUCACAGUACACUGUAAACG